rnacentral:lncRNA from 1 species
ACAUCAGGAACACCUCGCAUAUGCAAAGAGUCUUGGCUGGAAUUUAAGGGCAGUGAGGAGCUCCAAAAUAACUAGCCCCAAAUUACAGAAUAUGUAAGCAAGGGAAAGGGGUGUGUCAGUGAGCGUAUCUAGUCCAUGGGGAAGUGAGCGUAUCUAGUCCAUGGGGAGAAGGGUUCUGGGACAGGCAAACCUAGGAUGCAGAGAGGGUUAUACCAGCAGUACACAAGGACUGCACACUCAAACAGUGAACUUUGAC